rfam:Schistosoma mansoni strain Puerto Rico chromosome W, complete genome
AUCCAGCUGACGAGUCCUUAAUAAGACGUAACGCGAUUCCUGUAU